rnacentral:rRNA from 1 species
CUCGUGUCGUGAGAUGUUGGGUUAAGGACCGCAACGAGCGCAACCCUUGUCCUUAGUUGGCAGCACGUAAUGGUGGGAACUUUAAGGAGACUGCCGGUGAAAAAUCGGAGGAAGGUGGGGAUGACGUCAAGUCAUCAUGGCCCUUACGACCAGGGCUACACACGUACCACAAUGGUAGGGACAGAGGGCUGCGAUCUCGCGAGGGUGAGCUAAUCCCAGAAACCCUAUCUCAG